GUUUGAUAUUAGGUUGUUUUAUUGGAAAACCAACUAAAUAUCAAACAUAUUCUUACAGCGCCAGGGA
rfam:Chlamydotis undulata macqueenii contig48264, whole genome shotgun sequence.